GGAAUCUUCCACAAUGGACGAAAGUCUGAUGGAGCAACGCCGCGUGAGUGAAGAAGGUUUUCGGAUCGUAAAACUCUGUUGUUGGAGAAGAACACCUUUGAGAGUAACUGUUCAAGGGUUGACGGUAUUUAACCAGAAAGCCACGGCUAACUACGUGCCAGCAGCCGCGGUAAUACGUAGGUGGCAAGCGUUGUCCGGAUUUAUUGGGCGUAAAGCGAGCGCAGGCGGUCUUUUAAGUCUAAUGUGAAAGCCUUCGGCUUAACCGAAGAAGUGCAUUGGAAACGGGAAGACUUGAGUGCAGAAGAGGACAGUGGAACUCCAUGUGUAGCGGUGAAAUGCGUAGAUAUAUGGAAGAACACCAGUGGCGAAGGCGGCUGUCUGGUCUGUAACUGACGCUGAGGCUCGAAAGCAUGGGUAGCGAACA
rnacentral:rRNA from 1 species